AGGAUCUGAGGCUGCAAGUGGCAACUACUGAAAGGUCUCUGCUUUGUGAAUGAAGCACAUCAGUGGUACGACGUGCACAUUAUUUGGAUUAUUAACCACGCUCAGGAAUAAAACUGCAACACCACAUUGCUGGAGUUCUUUUUUUAACCAAAGACAUCCUUGACCAUUAGCUGACCGCUCCACACAGAGGAAAUCCCUGGUGCCCACGAGAUCUGGGAUUUAUGCGAUUCAAAACAAGGGGAAGAAUGAUGGACUGCUGAGUUUGGUGAUCGGGGUCCAAAAGACACUAUUUCUGCUCUGUCUGAGAACCUCUUUGAUUCCACUUCAGCAGCACAUUCUUCAG